CUGUACUGCCUAAAUACCCUAAAGAUAACACAUCAUGUUUGAUAUUGGAAUCUAAGAGUGGUUAGCCCUGGUUAGUACUUGUAUGGAAGACCGCCAAUGAAUAACAGGUGCUGUACAGG
rnacentral:rRNA from 1 species